CCUACGGGGGGCUGCAGUGGGGAAUAUUGGACAAUGGGGGCAACCCUGAUCCAGCCAUGCCGCGUGUGUGAAGAAGGCCCUCGGGUUGUAAAGCACUUUCAGUGAGGAAGAACGCCUGGUGGUUAAUACCCAUCAGGAAAGACAUCACUCACAGAAGAAGCACCGGCUAACUCCGUGCCAGCAGCCGCGGUAAUACGGAGGGUGCGAGCGUUAAUCGGAAUUACUGGGCGUAAAGGGCGCGUAGGUGGCUUGAUAAGCCGGUUGUGAAAGCCCCGGGCUCAACCUGGGAACGGCAUCCGGAACUGUCAAGCUAGAGUGCAGGAGAGGAAGGUAGAAUUCCCGGUGUAGCGGUGAAAUGCGUAGAGAUCGGGAGGAAUACCAGUGGCGAAGGCGGCCUUCUGGACUGACACUGACACUGAGGUGCGAAAGCGUGGGUAGCAAACAGGAUUAGAUACCCCUGUAGUC
rnacentral:rRNA from 1 species